AGUGAACGCUGGCGGCGUGCCUAAUACAUGCAAGUCGAACGAAGUGGCGCACGGGUGAGUAAUAUAUAGUUAAUCUGCCCUACACAGAGGAACAACAGUUGGAAACGACUGCUAAUACCUCAUAGUGUAGGAUGAGACUAUAUCGUAUCAGCUAGUGGGUAAGGUGAUGGCUUACCAAGGGUAUGACGCUUAACUGGUCGGAGAGGAUGAUCAGUAACAUUGGAACUGAGACACGGUUGAGACACCUACGGGAGGCAGCAGUAAGGAAUAUUGCGCAAGGGGGGAAUCCCUGACGCAGCAACGGCGCGUGGAGGAUGACACUUUUCGGAGCGUAAACUCCUUUUAUCAGGAAAGCGGGACCUGAUGAAUAAGCACCGGCUAACUCCGUGCCAGCAGCCGCGGUAAUUC
rnacentral:rRNA from 1 species